rnacentral:rRNA from 1 species
AUUGAACGCUGGCGGCAGGCCUAACACAUGCAAGUCGAGCGGAGCGGCGGACGGGGGAGUAAUGCCUAGGAAUCGGCCUGGUAGUGGGGGAUAACGUCCGGAAACGGGCGCUAAUACCGCAUACUAUCAGAUGAGCCUAGGUCGGAUUAGCUAGUUGGUGGGGUAAAGGCCUACCAAGGCGACGAUCCGUAACUGGGCUGAGAGGAUGAUCAGUCACACUGGAACUGAGACACGGUCCAGACUCCUACGGGAGGCAGCAGUGGGGAAUAUUGGACAAUGGGCGAAAGCCUGAUCCAGCCAUGCCGCGUGUGUGAAGAAGGUCUUAGGAUUGUAAAGCACUUUCAGCGGGGAGGCGUUACCCGCAGAAGAAGCACCGGCUAACUCCGUGCCAGCAGCCGCGGUAAUUC